rnacentral:tRNA from 1 species
GCCUGGGUGGCUCAGUCAGUUGAGCAUCUGACUUCAGCUCAGGUCCUGAUACCAUCAUUUAGUGAGUUCAAGCCCCAUGUCGGGCU